rnacentral:lncRNA from 1 species
UCUUUCUUCUUUCUUCUUUUUUUCUUUCUUCUUUCUUUCUUUCUUUUUUUGUAUUUUAGUAGAGAUUGAGUUUUGCCAUGUUUUCCAGGCUGAUCUCAAACUUCUGAUUACAAAAAAUCCACCUGCCUCAGCCUCCCAAAGCAUUGGAAUUACAGGCAUGAGCCAUCACAGCUGUCUACAAUAUACUUUUACAUUUAUGAUUUAGGUGAUGUGUUCUUCUCUUUCUGUCAGGUGCGGGAUGGUUAAAUAUCACUGGACCUAGCACCUAGGGAAUGUGACUCUUGUCUUUUGCAUCAGCCCCACUCGUUUUGAGAACUGUAACAUAUCACUGGGCCAAACACCUAGAAGAUGGGAAGUGUCUGCCUAUGCCCUGCAAACAGGGCUUUAGCCCUACCACUCUCAAGAGCCUCGUGACAUAUCUCUGCAUUCAUCAUCUAGGAGAUGUGACUCCUCCCUGCUGCCUGCGCUCUGCCUACAGGGAAGACCAUAACAACAUUUGGCCCAGCAACACGGUGAUGUGUUUUUUCCCAGGGCCUUGCUCACAGGGAGCAUUGUGACAUAUCACUGGAACCAGCAUCCAGGGCUGUGACUCUGUGUCCUGCUGUUAGAACAGGAUUGUAACAUAUCACUGACCAAGCACCCAGGUGAUGUGACUCUUCUGCCUGGUGCCUGCCUUCAGGGAAAAUUGUGACAUAUGCCUGGCCUAGCACCAAAGUGAUGUGGCUCUCCUGCUACCUCUAUGCACAGAUGGGUUGGUGAUGCUCAGACAAAUAUUCAGCACACCUGUGAGUCUGCGACUCCAGUAAUCAUCCACAGUCUGCAGGAGAAAUUGAGGCUCUCACCAACAAAUCAAGUGCACAAUUGAGAUUGCGACUCUUGUACUCAG